AUCUAGCAGCGCCAAUGAGUGCCAGCGUUGUGAGUGCAACAAUAAAGCGGACAGCUGCUCUUUUGAUCAGGAUCUUUACCAGAGAACAGGGAGAGGAGGUCGUUGUGUCGACUGUCGGGACAACACGGACGGUCCUCAAUGUGAGAGGUGCAAGGACAACCACUAUCUAAGGUCAUCAGAUGGAAGGUGCACACCGUGUGAUUGUAAUCCAGUUGGUUCUGAUACUCUUCAGUGUGAUGCUGCUGGGCAGUGCCAGUGUAAACCAGGUUAUACAGGAGAGAAAUGUACAAGAUCGACAUCGAGAAGCUGAUUACUUCAAAUGCCUGCCAGGGAUUUCAAACUUUCCCGGAGGAGGGAACCACAUACUUCUAUAAUUACUCAUUAAUGUAUGCUCAUUUGUUGGAAAUCAGAUAAAGAAUUAAAAUGAUUUAAUAUCAAG